rnacentral:rRNA from 1 species
CAUAGGUUAAUGAGGCGAACCGGGGGAACUGAAACAUCUAAGUACCCCGAGGAAAAGAAAUCAACCGAGAUUCCCCCAGUAGCGGCGAGCGAACGGGGAGGAGCCCAGAGCCUGAAUCAGUGUGUGUGUUAGUGGAAGCGUCUGGAAAGGCGCGCGAUACAGGGUGACAGCCCCGUACACAAAAAUGCACAUACUGUGAGCUCGAUGAGUAGGGCGGGACACGUGGUAUCCUGUCUGAAUAUGGGGGGACCAUCCUCCAAGGCUAAAUACUCCUGACUGACCGAUAGUGAACCAGUACCGUGAGGGAAAGGCGAAAAGAACCCCGGCGAGGGGAGUGAAAAAGAACCUGAAACCGUGUACGUACAAGCAGUGGGAGCCUCUUAAUGGGGUGACUGCGUACCUUUUGUAUAAUGGGUCAGCGACUUAUAUUCUGUAGCAAGGUUAACCGAAUAGGGGAGCCGAAGGGAAACCGAGUCUUAACUGGGCGUUAAGUUGCAGGGUAUAGACCCGAAACCCGGUGAUCUAGCCAUGGGCAGGUUGAAGGUUGGGUAACACUAACUGGAGGACCGAACCGACUAAUGUUGAAAAAUUAGCGGAUGACUUGUGGCUGGGGGUGAAAGGCCAAUCAAACCGGGAGAUAGCUGGUUCUCCCCGAAAGCUAUUUAGGUAGCGCCUCGUGAAUUCAUCUCCGGGGGUAGAGCACUGUUUCGGCAAGGGGGUCAUCCCGACUUACCAACCCGAUGCAAACUGCGAAUACCGGAGAAUGUUAUCACGGGAGACACACGGCGGGUGCUAACGUCCGUCGUGAAGAGGGAAACAACCCAGACCGCCAGCUAAGGUCCCAAAGUCAUGGUUAAGUGGGAAACGAUGUGGGAAGGCCCAGACAGCCAGGAUGUUGGCUUAGAAGCAGCCAUCAUUUAAAGAAAGCGUAAUAGCUCACUGGUCGAGUCGGCCUGCGCGGAAGAUGUAACGGGGCUAAACCAUGCACCGAAGCUGCGGCAGCGACGCUUAUGCGUUGUUGGGUAGGGGAGCGUUCUGUAAGCCUGUGAAGGUGGCCUGUGAGGG